UACGGAGGGUGCGAGCGUUGUCCGGAAUCACUGGGCGUAAAGGGCGCGUAGGCGGUCUCUUAAGCGUGUGGUGAAAGCCCGGGGCUCAACUCCGGGUCGGCCGUGCGAACUGGGAGACUGGAGCUUGUCAGAGGCAGGCGGAAUUCCGGGUGUAGCGGUGGAAUGCGUAGAGAUCCGGAAGAACACCGGUGGCGAAGGCGGCCUGCUGGGACAGUGCUGACGCUGAGGCGCGACAGCGUGGGGAGCAAACAGG
rnacentral:rRNA from 1 species